rnacentral:rRNA from 1 species
AACGAACGCUGGCGGCAGGCUUAACACAUGCAAGUCGAACGCCCCGCAAGGGGAGUGGCAGACGGGUGAGUAACGCGUGGGAAUCUACCUAGUUCUACGGAACAACUGAGGGAAACUUCAGCUAAUACCGUAUACGCCCUACGGGGGAAAGAUUUAUCGGAAUUAGAUGGGCCCGCGUAAGAUUAGCUAAUUGGUGAGGUAAUGGCUCACCAAGGCGACGAUCUUUAGCUGGUCUGAGAGGAUGAUCAGCCACACUGGGACUGAGACACGGCCCAGACUCCUGCGGGAGGCAGCAGUGGGGAAUAUUGGACAAUGGGCGCAAGCCUGAUCCAGCCAUGCCGCGUGAGUGAUGAAGGCCUUAGGGUUGUAAAGCUCUUUCAGUGGGGAAGAUAAUGACGGUACCCACAGAAGAAGCCCCGGCUAACUUCGUGCCAGCAGCCGCCGUAA